UCUCUGGUGGUCCAAUGGUUAAGACUCUGCACUUCCAAUGCAGAGGAUGCCAGUUCAAUUCCUGGUCAGGGAA
rnacentral:tRNA from 1 species